GGCAGGUUAGUUCAGUGGUAGAACACUUACCUAGCAUGUAUGAGACCCUGGGUUUGAUCCCCAACCA
rnacentral:tRNA from 1 species